UGCAGUUAAAAAGCUCGUAGUUGGACUUAGGGGUGGGUCGGCCGGUCCGCCUCACGGUGAGCACCGGUCUACUCAUCCCUACUGCCGGCGAUGCGCUCCUGGCCUUAAUUGGCUGGGUCGUUCCUCUGGCGCUGUUACUUUCAAGAAAUUAGAGUGCUCAAAGCAGGCCUACGCUUGUAUACAUUAGCAUGGGAUAACAUC
rnacentral:ncRNA from 1 species